UUAAGUUUGCGUACGCCGGCUUUCGCUCUUAUAAUCAAGAUAUUUAUAUAGUAUCAGCAGUUUGACUUUGGCGGAGACAUGGCUCGUACACUCUUACUUAAAUUAUUUUGUCUGCUUGUGAUAUUGUCGAUGCUAGAUAGUGCAGAAGCUCGCCGCAGGAAGAAAGAGAGAUCUGGGCAUGCUAAAUUGUCACGUCGCUCGAAAACUGAAAGAUUGUUAGACCUUAAAGUUGGGAACAGGAAACGGUUCCUCAGACUAAAGAAACGUCAGUUGCGGAGAGUUAAUAAAAGACUGUCACGCAAAAAAUUGGAUGUGGACAUAUUUCUCCUCAUCUGAUGAAACUGUUGGUUGCUUAGAAGAAUGCAUAAAUGAACUGACAAACCAGAAUUGCACAAGUCGCUGUUUGGAACAAAUGGCACAACGGAUUCAAUUACGUUAAGGAUAAUAAGGCUAUAACGGUGGAAAAUAAUGAGGAUAAACUGUUAGUAAUGGACACAAAUAUACUGUUAGACACCAAACUUGCCCAGCAUGAAAAGAAAGUACUUAAAAAUGGCUAGAGGCAAAGGCAGAGGCAAGAAAACACGUAAGCGGACGGUAUUGGUUCCCAACAUGGUCGAUAUACAGAAUAGUACAGGAGUUAUAAAACUCAGGCUCAUGUUAGAUUCUAGCUGUAUGAAGAUGCAUCAACUUCCUUUGAAUAUAGGAUUCUGGCUGACUCAGAGAUACUCCGUGUCAAUUUGUAACUAUAAUUUAUAUUUGUGGACUUUUGUAAUGGUGACAUACAGGCUGCAAAAGAUGAAGUAGAAUAUUUCUUCGCACUUGCAAUGAAUCGAAUUGCCCUGUAUUAUUCCUCUCUUAAGAGACAUGGAAUUACCGUUAACGCGACAAAUAAUGUGACAUUUCCACUGGAUCUGACUGUUGUCUUGGAAAAUAUUACGUAUCCCUCUUAUAAUGAAACUACUAAAAGCUUUCAUGACAUACUACCGAUAGCAUUUAACAGACGAGGGGACGGAGAAAACACCUCCUUGGUUAUGAACUAUCUUUUACAUCCAAACGGAACACAGAUACGUAGUCACGGACUAUUCACAGACUUUGCUUCGUAUAUGCGCAAAACUUUUGAAGACCCGUUAAGUUUUGACAUAUUGCAUAUCAUACAGGGGAUGAUUUGGUCGCAGAAAAGUACUUUUUACAUAACUCUAGGCCUUGGUUUUUCGAACGGGAUUCAUCAGUUUCCGGAAUUGCAGAUGUAGGGUCGUUCUGUAGUGACUAUCAGUCGUUUACAUUUGACGGUCGGUUUGGAAUUGUCGAAUUCUUCACACCGUACUUCGACCGUAUUGUUGCGCAUGAGCUUGGGCACAACCUUGGGGCUCGACAUGAUGGAAAUGAGCGAUGUCCAACAAGUGAUUUUACACUUAUGAUGCCAGCUGCACUGCCAAAAGUGAAAAAUGUGUCUGCAGAGUAUUACAACUUCUCAAUUUGUUCUGCAGAGGAGAUUGCAAAUCAUUUAUCAAGUUUCACAAGCGACAAAAUAGCAACAUGUCUGUACACUGAAAAGCCAUCCGUUGACGAUUUCCUAGACAAUUACUGCAAGGGACUGACGGGUUCAAAGUACGAUUUAAACGACCAUUGCAAAUUGUUUUUUGGAAACGAAAGCUACGUGUGCACUGAGGGAAAUACAGAUUUAGAACAAGGCUAUUUAGCACACAAUAGCUGCCAACCAGUGCUCGAUGCCUUUUACUUGACCUGGCUCCACUUUUCAAAUGCGCAAAGAAUAACAAGUGUGAAAACACUACAAACAUGAUAUUCCAUGUAUUUGACUGGAUCGAAAUGUUUGAAUCAGGAUGGCACUCAAGGAGACCAGGUAUGUUUCAAUGGGGAAUGUACCUCAGAAUUUAGACUUUGUAGUAAGAUAUCAACAGGUGGCAGAAAAGGAAAAAGAACAAAGAAUGGCAAGAAAGGGAAAAGGAGAAAUAAAACUGAGAAGAUUGUAAAAACGAAGAAGAAGAUUGUAGAAACGAAAAAGAAGAUUGUAAACACGAGAAAAACGAACAGGAAGAUUGUAAAAUCGAAACAGAAAAUUGUAAAAACGAAAACAAAAUUAUAAACAGACAAAAUACGGAAAGAAAUAACGGGACCUAAAAGGUCAAACAGGAGAAGGUCGGAUUGAUGGAUGUAGAAAAUGAUCAUGAAAUUGUUUUAAUUUGCAGUGUACAUAUAUGUCUCAAAACAUAACUAGAUAGCGAUUCGUCUCGUAAAUUUUCGCACACCCCUAUGUCGGCUAAAUCAGGAUUGCGCUGAAAUAUCAUUAUUGCAAAAGAACCAUGAUGUUGCUUCACCGAUUACAUUUUAUGAGUUGAAGUGAUAUAUAGGGGUAUGAGAAAAGGUUUGAGACAAAUCGGACCUGUAUAACAAAAGUAUAUGUAUUUCUUAUCCAAAUCUCUUGUACUCAGCUUUGUUUAUCCCUCCGUUGAAUUUGAAGACAUGUUUAAGGAAAUAAACACAUUGACUAAGCAAAAUAUUUGAUGUACAUUUCUUUGCGAAUGAAUUCUGCUAGUAAUCCUUAAUGGACUUCUCAAAGAAACUGUAAGUAAUGGUAGUGGGAGGAGAGUACAAGAAAAAGAAGAUUCUAUUCUAGGUGUUUCUCUGGUUCUUUAGCGUGGCAGUUGUCACGAGACACUUAUCAAAAAUUAAGAGAUUUUUAUUGGUGGAGUAGGGACUCGAACUCACAAACCCAGAUAUGAUAGUUAGACAGAGAAUUUUACCGCUGGACCACUGUACGACGUAUGACAUGCAUUGCUAUUUAUAUUAAAACAAUUUUGUUAUUAUCCGGUGUGUUGAUGACGAUAUAUAAAGCAUAAAGGUAACAUUAUUUUGAGAAUUUCUUACUAUUCACCAUUUUACAUAACUUUUUUUCCAUGAAAUUUUGAAAUUGACUACAUACUUGGCGACGACUCUUCGCCAGAUAUGUAAUACAAUGACUGGCUUUGUUACCUUACAAAUAAUAGUAUGCAAUUAGAAAUACAUUCAAUAAAUCUAUAGUGUACAUGUAUAACUUUUGUAACAAUAAUCAGCUUUUAACAUUAAAUUACUACUACUGCUA
rnacentral:misc_RNA from 1 species